rnacentral:lncRNA from 1 species
GGGAAGCUAAACUAGGCUUGGGCAGAGAGAAGCACAACUAGGCUGCUGGCCUGACCUGCCUUUGGCCUAACCAGUAGAAAGUGUGGGAGCAUUACCAAGUUGUUCUGCAUCAAGCUGAAAUGACCAGGUGUUUAUUCCCCUGGUUCACUCAGUCACCAAAUAUGUAUCUGUCUGCUUCUGGUGGAGAUUGUGAAGGGGAUGACAGUUAGAACUAUCUGUCCCCUGUCAGUGCUCCCCACAGCUGGGUAGCAAGCCCUUGCAUCUACUACAGUGUUCCAAUGUUCAUAGUUAAUGGAUUCUUAUUAAUGGUUGAUGGAUUAGCAUGGAAGCUUAUUAAAUUUUGGCUUCUGAAGGUGGAGAAUUUGCAAAUGUUUAGACUGGAUUAGGUUCAUGGGGUGAAGUCCCCUGAUUAAUCAUGAUGGCUUUCUAGAAUGAGGCACAGGGACACAGAGGACGUGUGUGCUCCCUGUGACUCUGCUUCCUGGCUGAACACAUGAUUGUUCCUCCACACACCAAAGGCCAGACUAAUGGGGCCACCUGAUCCUGGCCAACGAAAGCCUGGGCAGUUCUCCAAACUAAAAACUCCAGGAGCUCAAAAAGAGGAAGUGCCAAGGCUCUGGGAUAGACACAUACCUUGCCUUUUAGGUAGGAUAAACUUUCACCUUAUGCCUGCAAGCGGAUCACACUUGACCAGGGAAAUAAGCUAUAAGCUACCAAAACAAAUUGUAGAAAACAAAAAUGAAACACACAUCACUGAUACUCAGUCCACAUGAUUGUGUGUUCACAUGUAUAUAUGUAUGGAUAAAGUACAAAACUGUGAUGCCCUAAUUUCUCUGAUAAUUAUCACAGUGCCAUAAUACUUUUUUUUUUUUGGACAGGCAGAGUUAGACAGUGAGAGAGAGAUAGAGACAGAGAGAAAGGUCUUCCUUCCAUUGGUUCACCCCCCAAAUGGCCACUACCACCGGCGCUGCGCCAAUCUGAAGCCAGGAGCCAGGUGCUUCCAAAUGGUCUCCCAUGCAGGUGCAGGGCCCAAGGACCUGGGCCAUCCUCCACUGCCCUCCCCGGACCACAGCAGAGAGCUGGACUGGAAGAGGAGCAACCGGGACAGAAUCUGGCACCCCGACCAGAACUAGAACCCGGGGUGCUGGCACCACAGGCGGAGGAUUAGCCAAGUGAGCCACAGCGCCAUAAUAAUUAUAAUACAGCAUUUAGUGAACACAAGAUAUUUCAAUCAAAAUCCCCUUAUUCAUGGCAGUCGUAACAACUGGAAUUGAGGAGAAAAAAUUCAGUUUUCAUACCUUUGUCUUCUUCCAUCCAAUUAUACAAUCUCCUGGCCAUUAUAUUAAUCUGCCUUUUCCCCUUCGAAGUCCCACUUGCCAAUCACUGCCUUCAAUUGGAAAGUCUCUACCAUAAUCUCUACAUUUUUAAGGAUCAAUAUCUAAGUCUUUUCCAGUGACCCCUAGUCCCUACAGUUUUUUCAUCUCUUACAUUGUAUAAUUCCUCAUUUAACGGAAGAAACUAAAAUUCUUGAAUCUCCUUUCAUGCCCAUUGUUAUUUUUUCUAUCCCACUAUAAUCACUCAGCUGACGCUACAAAAAUGUUUUUAAUUCAUCCUUUAUUUUAAAUUAUUAUUCCAACAGCCACUACUCUGGUCUAAGUGAUUUCUAUUCUACUAUUUGCUAUUGAUUUAGCAUCAAACAAAUCUCCCUUGCUUCAUGUUUUUUCAAUCCCUCUCUAUUAUGCCAGUUUAAGCUUCAUUCCCUCUCUAUUACGC